GCCAGGCAUGGUGGUGGGUGCCUGUAAUCCCAACUACUCGGGAGGCUGAGGCAGGAGAAUUGCUUGAGCCCGGGAGGUGGAGGUUGCAGUGAACCUAGAUCACACUGCUGCACUCCAGCCUGGGCAACAGAGCAAGAUUCUGUCUCAA
ensembl:misc_RNA Metazoa_SRP Metazoan signal recognition particle RNA